rnacentral:misc_RNA from 1 species
UUUGCGACCCGAGCUGAGUGGAGCUCUUUUGCGGAGCGAAGCGGAGCAAAAAAGCGGGAACGGAGCGCGGAUAAAGUC